CUCCCCGUAGUUCAAUGGACAGAACACUAGCCUUCUAAGCUGGAUAUGUAGGUUCGAUUCCUACCGGGGAGACCA
rnacentral:tRNA from 1 species